ensembl:lncRNA uncharacterized LOC110079586
CUUUCAGGUCAAGGGUCAGGCUGAUGCACGCAGGCUUGUCACUGCUGGCCUCGGGGAGAGAUUUGAUUCCAGCCGUUCCGGGUCCCUGUCCUCGGUUGCCCAUCCCUUCUCCCCCACCCCACCUUCUAGUCCUGCUGGCUCAUUCAGGUGCUGCUGGGCAGAGGCACCUCCAAGGAAAUAUCCACCCCAUGUGUCAUCAGCGUGAAACCUCCCACCAGCCAGGGUGUGAAAGCGGACAACAUUUGCAUUUCCUCCGCAGCCGUAUAAAUACCUUUGCAAGUUGCCCUUCUCCAGAUCUCAGGCACAGGACGGGCAGACCUUGGGCCAAAGAAGAGAGACGGGGAAGAGAUUUGAGGAAAGGAGAAAAGGGGGGAAAACAACCCAGAAAACUUCAGCAUCAUGAUCGUCUUCCAGUCCCCAGUGCAGCUUCUGGUCCUCGGAGCCUUCCUGGUGUCUCCGGCUUCACUUCAGCCCUCUCCCUGCGAGGUUGUCAGGAACACGGCUGCCUACGGCUCCUACCAGCUCAGCGUACAUCCCCUGUUUUACAAACCAAAUUCAAUCUACACAAUAUCCAUCCCCGGGAUCGAAAACGGCACCUCUGUUAUCCUCCAAGCGGUGACCUCCGACGACGGCGCUUCCAACGGCAUGUGGGAGAUGGAAAACCAUCUCCUGAGCUGCAGCAAGACUGAGAAUCUGGUGCAGAGGAACAUCACGUCCAGCGGCACACGGACACGCUGGACGUCCCCGAGCAACACCAACGUGGCGUCCGCACAAAUACGGGCUUUUGUCUCCUUUGCCAAUGGCACAACCCUGCUGCAGACGCAGAACCUGGUCAGAGAUGCAGAUGUUGCAACAACACCAUCAGCGGCCACCCAUCCAACCACCGAUUCCCACAAGCCAACGCUCCACGGCGACUCCACUCACACCCAUGUCGUCCUCAACGCAACCAUGAACCACCACAACCUGGCUUCCUCCCACCAGUGGACCAAGGGCCCGAACAGCUCCGUCUCCAUGGCCGGAGCCAGCUCUUUCGUUCUAGCAGUUCUGCAGCUUUUCUCCAUUUCUCUUGGGUACAAACUCCUCUCCUAAGAUGACAAUUGGAACAAAAUGCCGAAGCCAUGGCGCGAGCUUCCACCUGAGUUUCCAAGUAGAAUGUGAAGAAGGGAGAGCUGACCUCCUCGGGAUGGAAAAACCCCACCCCUCAUCUCUCUUUCCUUCCCUCCCCUCUGCCAGUAAAUAUCCGUAUUUAUAAUUGCACUUUUUUUCAUAUUAAUCUGCGUAUACUCCCCCCAACUCUGUUCUCAUAUCAAACGAUUCAUAAAGCAGCUGUUCCGUGGUGUCCGCAUGGAGGCGGUCUGAAGUUCUGUGGUCUGAGAAAGCCACGGUGCCCCUUCUGUGCCUAACAUUGUGGCAGAAUAUAAUAAUAAGCUUAAAUACUCAACUCAUUGUCUAAGGCAACUCAAGUAUGCCCGCCUUGGUAUGGCCAACGACAGGGCUGGUUCCAGUUCAAAAGGUAACUCUGCCACAUUAUCGUUUUUAAGUAGACUUUGAAUUCUAUCUUUUGUUAUCAGAGCCUAGACAAAAAUAUGGUAUUAGAAAAAGGCAGGCGCCAAAGGUGCUUACUUCUGGCCCCUCCUCCCCAAAUUUAUCCAAUCUGCGUUUAGAGGACUUUUGACGUUUUGAUACAGGGUGCCAGCACCGGAAUCCAUCUCUAGAAUCACUGCUCUGGGCCAGGAGCUGAAACAGGAACUGUUUCUACCGAUCAGAAUGGUUUUCCCGGACGUUCUGCAAAGAAGCUGAACACUGGUUUUUUAAUAAGAUGGGAGACCUCCCUGCCGAGGAGGCGGGGAAAGACUCUUCUGGAUUUCUCAGUCUUCUGAGUUGGGAUUUAAACCCAAGGUUUAGCUGCCUGUGGGCCAGUCUGGAGGGCAGGGAUUCCCUUUCAUAACGAUGGCUUUUUAACUCCUGCUGGAUGAGGAUCCUGUCCAUGACCACCGUGGGGGUUGGGUGGCAGAUGAUGGAAAAGAAAUGGGCUUCGGUGUCCUAAGGUCCAAUUUUUUGAGUCCUCUACAGUACACUUCCACGUAGGUUGGGGUGACGGCUGCUGUUUUUUGUACAGACUCUGUUUGUUUUGGAAAAUGUAUUUUGGAAACCCAUGUCGUUGUAAAGACCUCUUUCCCCCAAUAAAACCUCUUCAUAAUGUCCCCUCUCUGUGUGG